GAUGAAGAACGUAGCGAAAUGCGAUACGUAAUGUGAAUUGCAAAUUCAGUGAAUCAUCGAGUCUUUGAACGCACAUUGCGCCCCCUGGUAUUCCGGGGGGCAUGCCUGUCCGAGCGUCAUUGCUGCCCUCAAGCACGGCUUGUGUGUUGGGCCCCGUCCUCCGAUCCCGGGGGACGGGCCCGAAAGGCAGCGGCGGCACCGCGUCCGGUCCUCGAGCAUAUGGGGCUUUGUCACCCGCUCUGUAGGCCCGGCCGGCGCUUGCCGAUCAACCCAAAUUUUUUAUCCAGGUUGACCUCGGAUCAGGUAGGGAUACCCGCUGAACUUAAGCAUAUCAAUAAGCGGAGA
rnacentral:misc_RNA from 1 species